rnacentral:lncRNA from 1 species
UUUUGAUGAUCUUCCGAGUUUUGAUGAUGACAGUGAUGCUCCUCGCUUGCCGGAGGUUUCGCCGGUACAAUCGUUGUCUCGUACCUUCAGAACGAUGCGCCACCAGCGGUACCGCCGGUAAGCAUCAGACAUGUUUAUUGAAGCUGACAUUGUUGACAGAAUCCAAUUUAAUAAUAAGAUACACGUCGACUAAAAAUUUAACGGAGUUAUAAAGUUACAAAGUUACGAUGUUACAAAGUGGAUUCUCGACGCUAAAAGGUUAAAGUAGG